AUGGAGGUCCCGUCCCAGAUGCUCUUUGGACUCCUCAUGCUUUGUGUCCCAGGUUCCAGGGGAGAAGUCGUGUUGACCCAGUCUCCAGCCUCAGUGUCUGUGAGCCCAGGAGAGAGAGUCACCAUCAGCUGCCAGGCCAGUGAGAGUGUCAAAUACAGUGAUGGAAAGACCUAUCUGAACUGGUUCCAGCAGAAACCUGGACAGUCUCCUCGGCGAAUCAUUUACCAGGUUUCCAAGCUAGACUCAGGAAUCCCUGCCAGGUUCAGUGGCAGUGGUGCUGACAGGGAUUUCACCCUCACAAUCAGCUGUGUCAGUGCUGAAGAUGGGGCAGAUUACUACUGUUUUCAAGGAUCUUUAUAUCCUCUCACAGUGCUACAGGCCAGAACAAAAACCUCCCCAGGGCUGGGCUGGCUGGGCAGGGAGGCUCAGCUGUCUCCUGUGCUGCCUCUCCUCCAGCAGCUGCUGGGGUGCCUGCUCCCAUUCAGGCUCUCUGGGGACAAUACAAGGAAAGGGGCUCAGGCUCCCAGAGGAAAUAACAUCUUCUGA